CGUUUGCUUAUCGAUUGAACAGAAGUAUUAUAUGGUAAAAUAAGUUAUUGCAAUUUCGUAAGAGCGAAGAAAAAUAUAAUUGCCGUUUUUCUUCGACGCCCACAGCGAUUAUAAAUUUGUAAAUAUUAUAAUUUAUCUUUGUUUAAUAUUUGAGAAACAACGAAGACGAAAUGUUUAGCUCACGGCACUGUGAGCUAUGUCAAAGCGAACGCAGGUCUUUCGUUUACCGAUAAUAUUAGUGAAAACGCGCGAUUCAAAAUUUGAAGGCUAGUAGCAUUAGCAUCCGAGUGCCCAGGUCGUCAAAUAAUUUAUUUAAAAUAUAGAGAAAAUAUAAGAAAUGCACAAGAGGAUUAAAGUAGUAUAUAUGCAUACAGUUCGAUGAAUUUGGAAGGAUAUAUAAAGUUAUACAAGUAAAUAUUAGUACAAAGAACUAUCCAUGACUGUAGCGAGGCCAGGUUUAAAUCGUCAUGUUGGAAAUCCAUUGGACAUUAUUCAUUGUGUCCAGCUACCAAUUGCUAGUCUGACUAGUAAAG
rnacentral:lncRNA from 1 species